UUCGGAUAAUAAGUAAACUGGCGAACGGGUGAGUAACGCGUAAACAACUUGCCUCAGAGAUUGGGACAACAUUGGGAAACCAGUGCUAAUACCAAAUAAUGCAGCGGGCUCUUCGGAGCACAGUUGUUAAAGUAGGCUUCGGCUUACACUUUGAGAUAGGUUUGCGUCCGAUUAGUUAGUUGGUAGGGUAAAAGCCUACCAAGACUAAGAUCGGUAGCUGGUCUGAGAGGAUGAUCAGCCACACUGGAAUUGAGAUACGGUCCAGACUCCUACGGGAGGCAGCAGUAAGGAAUUUUGCACAAUGGGCGAAAGCCUGAUGCAGCAACGCCGCGUGAACGAUGAAGUUUUUAGGAAUGUAAAGUUCUGUCGUAUGGGAAGAGAUCUUUCGAAUGUUAAUACCAUUCGUUAAUGACGGUACCAUUCAAGAAAGCACCGGCUAACUUCGUGCCAGCAGCCGCGGUAAUACGAGGGGUGCUAGCGUUGUCCGGAUUUACUGGGCGUAAAGGGUACGUAGGCGUUUUAAUAAGUUGUAUGUUAAAUAUCUUAGCUUAACUAAGAAAGUGCAUCCAAAACUGUUAAAAUAGAGUUUGAGAGAGGAACGCAGAAUUCAUGGUGGAGCGGUGACAUGCGUAGAUAUCAUGAGGAAAGUCAAAUGCGAAGGCAGCCUUCUGGCUCAAAACUGACGCUGAGGUACGAAAGCGUGGGGAGCGAACAGGAUUAGAUACCCUGGUAGUCCACGCCGUAAACGAUGAGUAUUUGGUGCUGGGGGAUUCGACCCUUUCAGUGCCGUAGCUAACGCGAUAAAUACUCCGCCUGGGGACUACGAUCGCAAGAUUGAAACUCAAAGGAAU
rnacentral:rRNA from 1 species